CUGUCCUGCCUUUGAGCCCAUCUGUCUGAAGAGCUGGAAUUGAAGAACUUCUGUUCUCUUGGCCUCCUGGUGAAGGCAACAAAGGCCACUGAGGAGUUUGUCUGCAGUGGAACCUGCUGAUGAAUUCUUUCUGGCACCCCUACAGAAGCAGAGCCUGCCCUGUACAUUCCAGUCUGAGCCAGUUCUGCAGCACACAAGGAUGGGAAGAAAGGCAAGGACAGGAGAGCUUUGCUCAGGAACUUCUGUCCAAGAUGCGCCACCCAGUCUUGGAGGUGUCCAAGAUGCGCCACCCAAUCUUUCAUCCGCAGCAAACAAACGCCCAGACCUGCAGGGGGAGGAGGAAUUGGCAGCUGGAAAAGCUGCCUGGAGCAAGGAGCUCACCAGCAGGCUGCAGAGGAGCCAGAGUGAUCUCCAGGACAUCUGUGGGUGUCUGAGUGUGCAGCUAAGGCCCUGCCAGCGUGGUGUCAGGUAAUUUUAACAUUUCUUGUAAGGAGAACUGAAGGAUUUAUAUUCCCUGCCAGGAGGGAAGGCAUGUGCUGCCACUGCAGGUGCCAGCCUGGGCUGCCAGUGAGGCUGAGAGAGCUCUGACCUUUCCCUCUGCCCUCAGCCCUUGGUUCUCCUGCUAACCCAAUUAAACCCCUUUCCUAAUUGGAGUGCCCCCGAUGGGGGUGUGUGACAGCACCAGUGUUUCCAGCAUUUGUGCCACAGCUGAAGUUCCCUUUUGCUGCCU